rnacentral:rRNA from 1 species
GAUGAACGCUGGCGGCGUGCCUAAUACAUGCAAGUCGAGCGAACAGACGAGGAGCUUGCUCCUCUGACGUUAGCGGCGGACGGGUGAGUAACACGUGGAUAACCUACCUAUAAGACUGGGAUAACUUCGGGAAACCGGAGCUAAUACCGGAUAAUAUAUUGAACCGCAUGGUUCAAUAGUGAAAGACGGUUUUGCUGUCACUUAUAGAUGGAUCCGCGCCGCAUUAGCUAGUUGGUAAGGUAACGGCUUACCAUGGCAACGAUGCGUAGCCGACCUGAGAGGGUGAUCGGCCACACUGGAACUGAGACACGGUCCAGACUCCUACGGGAGGCAGCAGUAGGGAAUCUUCCGCAAUGGGCGAAAGCCUGACGGAGCAACGCCGCGUGAGUGAUGAAGGUCUUCGGAUCGUAAAACUCUGUUAUUAGGGAAGAACAAAUGUGUAAGUAACUAUGCACGUCUUGACGGUACCUAAUCAGAAAGCCACGGCUAACUACGUG